ACUGCUCAGUAACACAUGAUCAACUUGCCCUAUGGAGAAAAAUAACCUCGGGAAACUGAGGAUAAUGUUUCAUAGUUGAAAAGGCUUGGAAAAGUUUUUCAAUUAAAAGGAUAGGGAGAAUGGUUCCUAUUCGCCAUAGGAUAGGAUCGUGUUCGAUUAUGGUAGUUGGUGAGGUAAGGGCUCACCAAGCCGAUAAUCGAUAGGGGCCGUAAGAGCGGGAGCCCCGAGAUGGGUACUUAGACAGCGACCCAGGCCUUACGAGGCGCAGCAGGCGCGGAACCUCCGCAAUACACGAAAGUGUGACGGGGUUACCCANAAGUGUUCUNNCUUAAGAAACUGGNNUGGCGAAGNNUGAGUUUUAAUGUUNNCCUCGCUAGAAAAGGAGAGGGCAAGGCUGGUGCCAGCCGCCGCGGUAAAACCAGCUCUUCAAGUGGUCGGGAUAAUUAUUGGGCUUAAAGUGUCCGUAGCCGGUUUAGUAAGUUCCUGGUAAAAUCGGGUAGCUUAACUAUCUGUAUGCUAGGAAUACUGCUAUACUAGAGGGCGGGAGAGGUCUGAGGUACUACGGGGGUAGGGGUGAAAUCUUAUAAUCCUUGUAGGACCACCAGUGGCGAAGGCGUCAGACUGGAACGCGCCUGACGGUGAGGGGCGAAAGCCAGGGGAGCGAACCGGAUUAGAUACCCGGGUAGUCCUGGCCGUAAACGAUGCAUACUAGGUGAUGGCACGGCCAUGAGCCAUGUCAGUGCCGUAGGGAAACCGUUAAGUGUGCCGCCUGGGAAGUACGGUCGCAAGGCUAAAACUUAAAGGAAUUGGCGGGGGAGCACCACAAGGGGUGAAGCCUGCGGUUCGAUUGGACUCAACGCCGGGAAACUUACCAGGGGAGACAGUAGGAUGAUGGUCAGGUUGACGACCUUACCUAACGAGCUGAGAGGAGGUGCAUGGCCGUCGCCAGUUCGUGCUGUGAGGUAUCCUGUUAAGUCAGGCAACGAACGAGAUCCGCACCUUUAUUUGCCACCAAGAAGUUACGACUUCGUUGGGAACACUAAAGGGACCGCCGUUCGAUAAGACGGAGGAAGGAGCGGGCAAAGGCAGGUCAGUAUGCCCCGAAACCCCUGGGCUACACGCGGGCUGCAAUGAUAUGAACAAUGGGCUGUGACUCCGAAAGGAGAAACCAAUCCCGAAAUCAUAUCACAGUGGGGAUUGUCGGCUGUAACCCGCUGACAUGAACGUGGAAU
rnacentral:rRNA from 1 species